GUAGGUGGCAAGCGUUGUCCGGAAUUAUUGGGCGUGAAGCGCGCGCAGGCGGUCCUUUAAGUCUGAUGUGAAAGCCCACGGCUCAACCGUGGAGGGUCAUUGGAAACUGGGGGACUUGAGUACAGAAGAGGAAAGCGGAAUUCCACGUGUAGCGGUGAAAUGCGUAGAGAUGUGGAGGAACACCAGUGGCGAAGGCGGCUUUCUGGUCUGUAACUGACGCUGAGGCGCGAAAGCGUGGGGAGCAAACAGGGAUUAGAUACCCUGGUAGUCCACGCCGUAAACGAUGAGUGCUAAGUGUUAGGGGGGUUUCCGCCCCCUUAGUGCUGCAGCUAACGCAUUAAGCACUCCGCCUGGGGAGUACGGCCGCAAGGCUG
rnacentral:rRNA from 1 species